UAUGCUACGGACUCAACCGUGGCAUCAAAAUUCCUAACGGAGGUCAAAUUUACUAAGUUACCCUCCAAUGGAAAUGAAACAAGUUUUCAAACAAUGCACAAUAUACACACAAGAAUAAAUCAAGGCCUCCAUUUUUAGACUUCUAACUCUUUGAGCUUUCAUUAAGCUCAUUCCUAGUCUCAAAAGGGUACGGGUAGGGGUAAAAUAGUUAAGUCUCCCAUAACGACCUAGCGGAUUGUUACAGGAUGAUAGGUAUGGUAGCGACUACGGAACAAAAAACUCACAUUUUCACCAAUUGCAUAUAAGGAUAAAAGAAAAUAGUGAAAGUGUCUUGAGUAUUAUGAUGUUAGUGGUGUUAGUUCUUCAAAGAUCGGGAACGAUUUGGCAACAAACAUAUUCACGAGAUCGAAAAUUCACCAGAAGAUAAGUGAGGUUAAGAUGAAGAGAGAUGGAAGUGAUGUCAUGGGUAUUUGUUCGUGGUAUUUCUGUAUGAUGAUACAAUGCAGCUGGCUCUAAAGUAUGAAUCCAUUUUAUUGUUCUGCUUCAUUUCAAUAACAUCUUUCAUGAUACUUUUUGCGCCCACUAAUGUCAAAUAUUUUUUGAACCAUCUAUAACAAUGUUGCAGGAUGGAAUCCACAGUCAUUACAUUGUCUAAGAUAAAACAUAGCUGAAAUCAAACAUCAACACGUUUUGUAUAACUUCUUGGAUGAUAAUGAGAAAGAUGUAUGGCCACUUUUCCGCU